ACACACCCAUUCAGUGACAUCAUUCAAUGUCAUGGCGCCCAGCCAAAGGCUAUCAUACAGUCAGACUGCACCAGUGACCCCAGUGACCUCGCUCCCUGUCAGUCUGUGAUUUACAGAUUAAAGCUGAGGUGGACAGAAAUCAGACAGUUGUCCCCUCUCUGUCCUAAGCUCCGCCCACCAGACAACCACACACUUCAUACAGUGACUCAAUGUUUCCAUACGCUGGUUUAUUUCAUCUCAUUUCACUCUCAGCCACUUUCUAGCUGCUUGCAGCCAAACACUAUAGACCACGCCCCUAUGCCUCCUCCUCCUCGCUCCGCUACAGACCACCUUGCUGGGAGGAGAGUGGGCAGCAGCUCUGGAGACUGACCUCCAGUCAGAGCCGGCCCAAGGCAUAAGCGAACUAAGCUCCUGCUUAGGGCCCCGUGACCACUAGGGGGGCCCCAAGAGCAAUUAACUUCAAAAAAGAAAAAAAAAAAGAACAAAUUAAUUCUUUUUUUCGAUGUGUGAGUGAUGAUGAUUCACAUAUUAUCAAACAAAAAGACAGUAUUAUGUUAACAGAGUGUAGUUUCCUACUGCCUCUCUGCUCUAAAUGUCAGACCUCCGCUGGUAAGGUGUGCAUCCAGCCUGCAGUGCGCACUGCGCAUCCACGGAGCUAGGAGCAGGUGGAAGGCCUAAUAUUGUCGCAACAAAGGACAUACCCUUCAGGGACAGAAGAAAGAAAGAGAAAGAAAGAGGAAGAGGAGAAAAAACAACAAGAUAAAUGUAUGUUUGCAUGUCUUGGUAAUGUAACGUUUGGUGUCAAGGAGAUUUUGAAAAGUUUCCUCAAAUUAAGAAAGUCCCUAAUUAUUGUCUCUUAUUACUAUGUUAGCCUAUAAUAGCAAAUUAGCUAGCUAACGUUAGUUCAAAACUAGAGAAAUGUAUCUUUUAACUGGUUAGAGGUUAGAUAGCUUACUAUUCAAGCUAACGUUUUUGUGUUUGUGUAAUAGCCUACUUUGAAUAAGUUGAUUCUUGGUGUAUAUAUAUAUAUAUAUAUAUAUAUAUAUAUAUAUAUAUAUAUAUAUAUAUAUAUGUACACAUAUAUAUAUCUGGGUCAUUUUUGGCAUCAAAACAACGUUUUUGAUAACGUUUGAUAGCAAAUGUUUAUUAACAACUUAUUAAUUACGCGGUGAUGUUUGCUAGCAAUAUGUUUUUGCAUUAAUGAAUUAACUUCACUUAUAGUUUGAGAUAUGUUGUUUGCUGCAGAGCACCGUAAUUUUUGUGAGUAAAUAAACAUAUUUCUUUUACAUCAACUCCCUUUUAUGCUCAUACGUUAUAUGAAACUUCCCCAGGAGCACUGUUAAAGUAUUUUGGAGGAGGCAAUGACUCAGCCCAGGGGCAGUCCACCUCCUCAGGCUCAGCCCAGGGGCAGUCCACCUCCUCAGGCUCAGCCCAGGGGCAGUCCACCUCCUCAGGCUCAGCCAAGGCUAAUGAAUCAGGUGAGGGAAAAACUGUCACCAUAUAUAUUUAAUUUCUAGUCAAAUUAUCUCAUUAAGAUAUACUAAUAUAAGAUAUAAUUAUAUGACAAGGGACAUGUUUUUCAUCUUAGAUCCAUCUCCAUCCUCUGUGCCCACUAUCCCCUCUGUGUCUGCUGCAACCUCAGCUCUACCUGGUAAGUUAACAACAAAACAGCCUUUGUAAUUGCUCAGUGUACUGCAGAACAUUCUGAGAUUAAUCAUUUUUAAUAUAAGACAUAAUCAUAUGAAAAGGGACAUGUUUUUAGACAAAUGCAUAUUAUUUCAAAACUUCUCUAGCAAUUUUCAGUUGUUCCACUGGCAGAUUGUUUUCUUACUACAAGCUAUAGCUGUACUAUUUUACUUAGAAAAUAAGCAGCAUAAUUUUCAUGUGUAGUAUGACAUCUAACAUGACUUGCUUUUGUUGUUGUUUUUCAUCUUAGGUCCAUCUCCAUGCUCUGCUCCAUCCACUGUGCCCACUGUCCCCUCUGUGUUGCAGUUUAUUUAAAACAAAAAAUAAUAAAGCAGAUUGUGUUUACAGUAAAUGAUUGGUUUCUUUUGUUACUUUUAGUUGGCCUAGAUGACAUUUGGUAUCCCACUUUGUACUAUAUCACUUUGAAUAUUAAGUGUAAAUUAACCCCAGGCUGCUCUUGUAGCUGAAUUUGCUACCAUUUCAGAAUAAAAACCAUAAAUGGGUAAAACAUGCCAGGCUGCUCUUUGAGGUUUUAUGUAUUGAUUCUCUGUGUGGCCAGUAGGGGGAGUUGCUGACUUUGCCAAAUAUUAAUUGAAAGAUUUUUCUGCAAGUCUGCAAAUCUGUUGUCUGCUUCCAUGGCCUUCUCACAUCUAGUUUUACAAGUGAUGACAGAGUAGAACAUGAAAUAACUUACAGCAGGUGAGUGAAUGUUGAAUAAUCAGUAUUAUUGGCAGUAAUAGAGGGCCCCAAAAUCAAAUUUUGCUGAGGGCCCCAUGGAGGCUUGGGCUGGCCCUAAACGCGACAGCGUCAGGUGUGACAGUGUCAGAUGUCGCAGCUAGAGGUGUGGCAGCAUCAGGUGUGGCAGCAUCAGGUGUGACAGCAUCAGGUGUGACAGUGUCAGAUGUGGCUGCAUCAGGUGUGACAGCAUCAGGUGUGACAGCGUCAGGUGUGGCAGCAUCAGGUGUGGCAGCAUCAGGUGUGACAGCAUCAGGUGUGACAGUGUCAGAUGUGGCUGCAUCAGGUGUGACAGCAUCAGGUGUGACAGUGUCAGGUGUGGCAGCAUCAGGUGUUGCAGCAUCAGGUGUGACAGUGUCAGAUGUGGCAGCAUCAGGUGUGACAGCAUCAGGUGUGACAGUGUCAGGUGUGGCAGCAUCAGGUGUUGCAGCAUCAGGUGUGACAGUGUCAGAUGUGGCAGCAUCAGGUGUGACAGCAUCAGGUGUGACAGUGUCAGGUGUGACAGCAUCAGGUGUGGCAGCAUCAGGUGUGACAGUGUCAGGUGUGACAGCAUCAGGUGUGGCAGCAUCAGGUGUGACAGCAUCAGAUGUGGCUGCAUCAGGUGUGAGAGUGUCAGAUGUGACAGUCUCAGGUGUGGCAGCAUCAGGUGUUGCAGCAUCAGGUGUGACAGUGUCAGGUGUGGCACCAUCAGGUGUAACACCAUCAGGUGUGACAGCGUCAGGUGUGGCAGCAUCAGGUGUGACAGGACAGUGUCAGGUGUGAGAGCGUCAGGUGUGAGAGUGUCAGAUGUGGCAGCAUCAGGUGUGACAGCGUCAGGUGUGACAGCGUCAGGUGUGGCAGCAUCAGGUGUGACAGCGUCAGGUGUGGCAGCGUCAGGUGUGACAGGACAGUGUCAGGUGUGACAGUGUCAGAUGUGGCAGCAUCAGGUGUGACAGCAUCAGGUGUGACAGCGUCAGGUGUGACAGUGUCAGGUGUGACAGCGUCAGGUGUGGCAGCAUCAGGUGUGACAGGACAGCGUCAGGUGUGAGAGCAUCAGGUGUGACAGUGUCAGAUGUGGCAGCAUCAGGUGUGACAGCAUCAGGUGUGACAGCGUCAGGUGUGACAGCGUCAGGUGUGGCAGCAUCAGGUGUGACAGCGUCAGGUGUGACAGCGUCAGGUGUGGCAGCAUUAGAUGUGACACCAUCAGGUGUGACAGCGUCAGGUGUGACACCAUCAGGUGUGACAGCAUCAGGUGUGGCAGCAUCAGGUGUGACAGGACAGCGUCAGGUGUGACAGUGUCAGAUGUGGCAGCAUCAGGUGUGACAGUGUCAGGUGUGACAGCAUCAGGUGUGGCAGCAUCAGGUGUGACAGUGUCAGGUGUGGCAGCAUCAGGUGUGACAGUGUCAGGUGUGACAGCAUCAGAUGCGACAGGGUGUUGGUUUCCAGAAGAAGCGUCAGGUCUAACCUGUGUAACAGCAGCAACAGAAGGUUUUCUUAUCUGGCGGGGAGGUGGGGCUGUGCAGUUUCUUGGAGUCAGGGUUUGAUCUGGCUGGAUUCAGGUCGCUGCCAUCGCUGACUGGAGGUCAGUCUCUGGAGCUGCUUCCUGCUCUCCACCCGGUGAGGUGGUCUGUGGCAGUGGGUAGUGAGGCGGAGGACAUACUGUGAUUCGAGGCUGUAGCUAACAUUAGCUACGUCAACAUGAACUUUACACUACAGCUGUGAGCUUUUAGCUCCUGUUAGCAUAAGGCUAAACUGUUAGCAUCAUUUUCUCCCCAUCUCUGAAACUGACUUGAGUUUUAUUCAGAUUAUUGUCAGACUCUGUUUCAUCAGUCUGUCUGUCUGUCUGUCUGUGUCUCUGUCUGUCUGUCUGUCCGUCUCAUGGGACAGAGCCAGAAGAUUGUCCCUCGUGACGUGCUGACGUAUUGCGGUAAGCGAGUUGUGUCAUUUCCGGUGUUUCUGUGACAGCGUCUCUGUACUGCUCUGGUGAAUUCUACUAGCCUGCUUUCUCACUUCAGUUGCUUUAACAUCUACUUCAACUCUUAACCCACACUGGUUCUGUUUAAGCACUUAUAGCUCUCCUCCUUUCUACGACUUUCUCGCUAAUCUCUUAGCUGUUGUUUGCACGUUACUAGCCUUGGUAGCUACAUUAGCUUUACAGUUAGCGGUGGCUUCUCCCUCUGCUCUCUCUUGCUCGGUGUGCCAAAUGUUAAGUUAUGCCUCUGCCUCCUUUAGCGACAGUGGUAAUUGUAAUAAGUGUAGCUUAUUUGCUGCAUUGGAGACGAGGCUUAGUGAAUUAGAAGCGCGGCUCCGCACCAUGGAAAACCAUUCAGUAGCUGCGGUAGUUAGCCAGCCCCCUGUAGCCGGUGCGGAGCCACAUAGCAUAGCCUUAGCCUCUGC